UAUGGUCACAUCACGUUGAAACGCCGGUUCCCGUACAAUCACCGAAGUUAAGAAAUGUCGAGCCUGGUCAGUACCUAGAUGAGUGACUGCUUGGGAAUACAAAGUGCUGUAAG